GCGCUCGCUUCGGCAGCAUGUAUACUAGAAUUGGAAAGAUACAGAGAUUAGCAUGGCCCCUGCACAAGGAUAGCAUGCAAAUUCGUGAAGCGUUUCAUAUUUUU
rnacentral:snRNA from 1 species